UACGUAGGGUGCGAGCGUUAAUCGGAAUUACUGGGCGUAAAGCGUGCGCAGGCGGUUCGCUAAGACCGAUGUGAAAUCCCCGGGCUUAACCUGGGAACUGCAUUGGUGACUGGCGGCUAGAGUAUGGCAGAGGGGGGUAGAAUUCCACGUGUAGCAGUGAAAUGCGUAGAGAUGUGGAGGAAUACCGAUGGCGAAGGCAGCCCCCUGGGCCAAUACUGACGCUCAUGCACGAAAGCGUGGGGAGCAAACAGG
rnacentral:rRNA from 1 species